GACGAACGCUGGCGGCGUGCUUAACACAUGCAAGUCGAACGGAGCAUAUGGGUGCUUGCACCUAAGAUGCUUAGUGGCGGACGGGUGAGUAACGCGUGAGGAACCUGCCUACAUCAGAGGGACAACAGUUGGAAACGACUGCUAAUACCGCAUAAGACCACGGAGUGGCAUCACUUUGGGGUAAAAGAGAUAUGUAUCGGAUGUAGAUGGCCUCGCGUCCUAUUAGUUAGUUGGUGGGGUAACGGCCUACCAAGACCGCGAUAGGUAGCCGACCUGAGAGGGUGAACGGCCACACUGGAACUGAGAAACGGACCAGACUCCUACGGGAGGCAGCAGUGGGGAAUAUUGGGCAAUGGAGGCAACUCUGACCCAGCAACGCCGCGUGAAGGAAGAAGGCCUUCGGGUUGUAAACUUUUGUUGUAGAGGACGAAGAAAGUGACUGUACUCUACGAGGAAGCCCCGGCUAACUAUGUGCCAGCCGCCGCGGUAAUAC
rnacentral:rRNA from 1 species